GCUCAGAGUGNACGCUGGCGGUAGGCCUAANACAUGCAAGUCGAACGGCAGCACAGGAGAGCUUGCUCUCUGGGUGGCGAGUGGCGGACGGGUGAGGAAUACAUCGGAAUCUACUCUGUCGUGGGGGAUAACGUAGGGAAACUUACGCUAAUACCGCAUACGACCUACGGGUGAAAGCAGGGGAUCUUCGGACCUUGCGCGAUUGAAUGAGCCGAUGUCGGAUUAGCUAGUUGGCGGGGUAAAGGCCCACCAAGGCGACGAUCCGUAGCUGGUCUGAGAGGAUGAUCAGCCACACUGGAACUGAGACACGGUCCAGACUCCUACGGGAGGCAGCAGUGGGGAAUAUUGGACAAUGGGCGCAAGCCUGAUCCAGCCAUACCGCGUGGGUGAAGAAGGCCUUCGGGUUGUAAAGCCCUUUUGUUGGGAAAGAAAUCCAGCUGGCUAAUACCCGGUUGGGAUGACGGUACCCAAAGAAUAAGCACCGGCUAACUUCGUGCCAGCAGCCGCGGUAAUACGAAGGGUGCAAGCGU
rnacentral:rRNA from 1 species